rnacentral:rRNA from 1 species
GACGAACGCUGGCGGCGUGCUUAACACAUGCAAGUCGAACGGAAAGGCCCUGCUUUUGUGGGGUGCUCGAGUGGCGAACGGGUGAGUAACACGUGAGUAACCUGCCCUUGACUUUGGGAUAACUUCAGGAAACUGGGGCUAAUCCCGGCUAGGAGCUCCUGCUGCAUGGUGGGGGUUGGAAAGUUUCGGCGGUUGGGGAUGGACUCGCGGCUUAUCAGCUUGUUGGUGGGGUAGUGGCUUACCAAGGCUUUGACGGGUAGCCGGCCUGAGAGGGUGACCGGCCACAUUGGGACUGGGAUACGGCCCAGACUCCUACGGGAGGCAGCAGUGGGGAAUAUUGCACAAUGGGCGGAAGCCUGAUGCAGCAACGCCGCGUGCGGGAUGACGGCCUUCGGGUUGUAAACCGCUUUCGCCUGUGACGAAGCGUGAGUGACGGUAAUGGGUAAAGAAGCACCGGCUAACUACGUG